rnacentral:rRNA from 1 species
GACGAACGCUGGCGGCGCGCUUAACACAUGCAAGUCGAACGGAAAGGCCUGCUUUCCCUUGUGGAUUGCGGGUACUCGAGUGGCGAACGGGUGAGUAACACGUGAGUGAUCUGCCCCCAACUUGGGUAUAAGCCUGGGAAACUGGGUCUAAUUCCCGAUAGGACUGCAGGGUGGUGCCUGUGGUGGAAAACGAUUUUCUAGUGGUUGGGGAUGAGCUCGCGGCCUAUCAGCUUGUUGGUGGGGUAAUGGCCUACCAAGGCGGCGACGGGUAGCCGGCCUGAGAGGGUGGACGGCCACAUUGGGACUGAGAUACGGCCCAGACUCCUACGGGAGGCAGCAGUGGGGAAUAUUACACAAUGGGCGGAAGCCUGAUGCAGCGACGCCGCGUGGGGGAUGACGGCCUUCGGGUUGUAAACUCCUUUCGACCGCGAGGAAGCCACCUGGUUGGAAGGGUGGUGACGGUAGUAGUAGAAGAAGCACCGGCUAACUACGUG